rnacentral:lncRNA from 1 species
CUCGAUUCUUCCUGUUUAAAUUGUUAUGCCUGCAUGCCCAGAUUACAAAUGACAGUCCAUAUAAAUAUGCUUUUAAAACCUCACUGUGGGGCCACAGAGAUGGUUCAGUGAGUAGAGGCACCAGCUGGCUUCCUGAGUGGAAGAAGAAACCAGCUUCAGGCCUAGAGGAUACGCUGCAAUUGGCAUUCAAGCAAGCAAGGUGGGAUUAUUGCUUCCUUGAUGGCGAGGGUUAGGUUUCCUUCCUGUGACCAGCACCCCCGGCCUAGCCGCUCCCUCCCUGGAAAAAGCUACAGACACGUGUAUCCUGGCCAUCUGGGGCUAGCCCUCAUCCAGUGGCUGAUGGAAGCAGAGGCGGAUAUCCUCAGAUAUACACUGAACUGAGCUCUGGAACUUAGUUGCAGAGAGGGAGAAAUGAAGAUCGAAGGGGUCGGUACCAGGUUGGAGAAACCCACAGAAACAGCUGGCCUGAACAAGGGGGAGCACAUCGACCCCAAAUCCUGUCUGGGAGGCCAGUACAGGACUGAUCCAGACCCCUGAACAUGGAUGUCAAUGAGGAGGCCUCUGCACUCUAGGGGAUCCCUGGUGGUGGAUUAGUAUUUUUCCCUGGUGUAAGAAGGGACUUUGAGAGCCCAUCCCAUAUGAAGGGAUGCACUCUUGCCCUGGACACAUGGGGCAGGGCCUAGGCCCCGCCCAGGAUGAUGUGGUGGACUUUGCAGAGCCCCUGUG